rnacentral:rRNA from 1 species
UGCAGUCGACGGUCUCUUCGGAGAUAGUGGCGGACGGGUGAGUAACGCGUGAGAAUCUAGCUCUAGGUCGGGGACAACCACUGGAAACGGUGGCUAAUACCGGAUGUGCCGAAAGGUGAAAGAUUUAUUGCCUAGAGAUGAGCUCGCGUCUGAUUAGCUAGUUGGUGUGGUAAGAGCGCACCAAGGCGACGAUCAGUAGCUGGUCUGAGAGGAUGAUCAGCCACACUGGGACUGAGACACGGCCCAGACUCCUACGGGAGGCAGCAGUGGGGAAUUUUCCGCAAUGGGCGAAAGCCUGACGGAGCAAUACCGCGUGAGGGAGGAAGGCUCUUGGGUUGUAAACCUCUUUUCUCAGGGAAUAAAAAAAUGAAGGUACCUGAGGAAUAAGCAUCGGCUAACUCCGUGCCAGCAGCCGCGGUAAUACGGAGGAUGCAAGCGUUAUCCGGAAUGAUUGGGCGUAAAGCGUCCGCAGGUGGCACUGUAAGUCUGCUGUUAAAGAGCAAGGCUCAACCUUGUAAAGGCAGUGGAAACUACAGAGCUAGAGUACGUUCGGGGCAGAGGGAAUUCCUGGUGUAGCGGUGAAAUGCGUAGAGAUCAGGAAGAACACCGGUGGCGAAAGCGCUCUGCUAGGCCGUAACUGACACUGAGGGACGAAAGCUAGGGGAGCGAAUGGGAUUAGAUACCCCAGUAGUCCUAGCCGUAAACGAUGGAUACUAGGCGUGGCUUGUAUCGACCCGAGCCGUGCCGGAGCCAACGCGUUAAGUAUCCCGCCUGGGGAGUACGCACGCAAGUGUGAAACUCAAAGGAAUUGACGGGGGCCCGCACAAGCGGUGGAGUAUGUGGUUUAAUUCGAUGCAACGCGAAGAACCUUACCAAGACUUGACAUGUCGCGAAUCUUCUUGAAAGGAAGAGUGCCUUACGGAGCGCGAACACAGUGGUGCAUGGCUGUCGUCAGCUCGUGUCGUGAGAUGUGGGUUAGUCCGCACGAGCGCAACCCUCGUUUUAGUGCAGCAUACGUGGGCACUCUAGAGAGACUGCCGGUGACAAACCGGAGGAAGGUGGGGAUGACGUCAAGUCAGCAUGCCCCUUACGUCUCGGGCUACACACGUACUACAAUGCUACGGACAGAGGGCAGCAAGCUAGCGAUAGCAAGCAAAUCCCCUAAACCGUAGUUCAGUUCAGAUCGCAGGUUGCAACUUGCCUGCGUGAAGGUGGAAUCGCUAGUAAUUGCAGGUCAGCAUACUGCAGUGAAUUCGUUCCCGGGCCUUGUACACACCGCCCGUCACACCAUGGAAGCUGGCAACGCCCGAAGUCAUCACUCCAACUUUUAGGAGAGGAGGAUGCCUAAGGCAGUGCCAGUGGCUGGGGAGAAGUCGAUACCAAGUAACUGUACUGGAAGGUGUGGCUGGAUCACCUCCUUUUAGGGAGUCCUACCCAACUAGGAAUAGAAAGCGUAAAGCGAAUAGAGGAACAGAUGGUCUACUUUAGGUCGGUCCUAGAUAUUGUCAAAG